ensembl:lncRNA
ACCCACAUUCUUGCUUCAUCUUCACCACCGCUUGGUGGAGGUGGAACCAGUACUGCCUUCCCACUCCAACCGCAUUCCCACUCCAGGACGCUGAGACCCAGAGAGGUUUCAUGAGGUCUCCCAAAAUGAUAACGAUGGAGUCAGAACUCAAAUGCUGAGGUAGCUGAGGUCCCGGCCCAAGUUCCCGGCCACGAAGUCGCGCUGCACCUGUUUCACUAUUUCCUGGCGCCUCGAGGGAUACCUGAGCAUCCCUUAAGCCAAAAAAAAAAAGCUUGAAUCCGGGCCAUCGCCCCUUCCCACCCCCGCCCCACUUUCCCUUCUGAAUUGGGGGGGCCUGGUCGGAGGCAGACCCCAGGAGAUUCCACCCGUCCCCUCGCGUUGGCCUCGCUCACCCACGGAUGAGUCAGCUGGAAUUUUUGGACACCCGGGCUCACAGCCGCGGUACCAGGAGCUGUCAGGGGGCUGGAAUGCGCGGAAUGCGGCUCCCUGGGCUCCCGCGUGCCCCCGCCCCACCCCGCCCCCAGGUUGAGAAGGUGAAUGACACAGUGUUUGUCAAGGGCUUGGGACGACAGGUGCACGCGAACAUGAGGACAAAGACCGAUUCUUUUCCGCAGGGCUGCAGCCACAGUUCACGUCCCUCCCACGCACGUCCGCGUUCCAGGCCCGGAUGCUCCGCGCCCCGGGCUCCGGCGAAGGGCACGAAGCCACUGAUUAGGAAGCGAAAAGGAAAAAAAAAGUCCCGGCUUCUAGAAAGACUUGAAUGUUCGACCCCUGCCUGAGUCUGACUUGGCCCUGCAACGCCACCAAGUACACGACUUGGAGUUUGUCGCCUACCUGCUCACAGGCCUCGGCGCGCGCGUUAAGGUGGUGGAGACGGCGGCCGCAGCCCUUCCCUCUCCAGUUUGCUUUCUAGAGGCAGGUUGAGAGAAGAAACGUGUGAGCGUGUAAUUACAGAAUGGGAUCAGGUGAGGAAGGAGACAGACCAGGUGCAGGAUGGAAAUGGGCAGGCGGUUCCUUUAAAAUGAAAUCUAACCCUUUGGGGCUGCGCCGGGCUGGCUAAAUUUGUCACGUGUCUGAGGCCUUAACUCCUGCCAGCCACCCAGAGCCCUUGUGGCCCGACUGUCACUUUGCCGGGUGGAUCCUGGGUCACCUUCUGAACUCUCUGCCUGCCUGGUGAGCCCCUCAGGGGCCAGGAAGCCUGGUCGUAUCUCACACUCUGGAGACUCAUGGGAAUUCCAUCUAACGCAUGUGGCCCAGAUCCCUUUGGUUUCGAAGCCAGGCACUGGUGAGACACAUAAAGAAUACUUCUUGAGGGGAUGGGCGUCCCCACACUCCAGCUGACUGUAGGAAGGACAGGAGGAAGAAGGGCUGUCAGCAAAGGAAUCAUGCUCAGGAAACCGUCCAUGCCGGAAGUCAGCCCGGGAGCCCUACUGGACCCAGAAUGUCCAUGUCACACACACAGGCUGGUGGACUCAGAAAGGCACAUCACACACACAGGCUGGUUAGGAGAGACGAAGGGUUGAGGGCAAAAAACUGACUGAUCAGCCUCUCCUCCGGAAGUUUGGGCCCUCAGAUGUUGCCUCGAUUACCUAUCGCAAGGAAGAAAUGCCAGAAUUCACCCAGGCCCUUGCUGACGCAGGGCACUAGAGAGAGAGAAACCACUGGGCUGAUUAUCUUGGCUUUAUCCUCCACAUCUGUUUCAGCUCAGCAUCUCUGCUUCUCAUCUUUAAAGAGAUGGCUGCAAGGCUAGAGAAUCUCAGAGCUGGAAAGGGUCUGAGAGACCUCACAUCUCACCUCCUUCUUUCGGAGAUAAGAGCCGUGUCACUUGAGAGGCCGUGACUCACUCAAGGCCACACGGCGUGGGGGGUGGGGGGUGCGGGGUGGGGAGCUGGGAUUGCAGCUCUCCCUUCCCAGGCCAGAGCUUUUCCCAGUUCUCCAAGCUGCCUCUCGGAUCCCGCCAAGUUGUUCCCACGCUGGCCUGGUUUAGGCCUCAUUAGUAAGAAAAGCUGGCUGUGGUCCUUUCUCAUCCCCCCACCCCCACUGCCUCUCGAAAAAGAAAGGAGAUGCUCUUCCAGAACAGAGCCAGGAUGGUUUUGCUUGUCAUCUGAUGUCUGGGAGUGCCCAUGCCAGGCUCCACUCCAGGGGUACAGCUCCUUGCCCUCACAUGGUGUCAUAAAAGAAUUCACCCUCCUGCCAACCUUGAGCAUAGAAGGCCGUUUCUCAGCUGGGACUCAAGCCACCUUGGGGGCCAAGACAUCAGAGAGACUGUGCUCGGCUCUUACCAGCUGUGUGCUCCUUGGCCAAGGUCUGUCCUUGGAAGGCAGGUGCUCCCCAAGGAGUCCCAACCCCAUUUCCUGGCCAGUCACCUUCACCCAAGCCAAGUCGAGACUCUCUCUGGAAGGUGCUCCACAUCCAUUCUGGAAGGGAGGAAUAUUCCCACCUCCAGUCCUUUUUUUAUUUCCAGCCACACUUCCAGUAGUCAUGUACGGAUAUGAAAGUUGGACUAUAAAGAAAGCUGAGCGCCGAAGAAUUGAUGCUUUUGAACUGUGGUGUUAGAGAAGACUCUUGAGAGUCCCUUGGACUGCAAGGAGAUCCAACCAGUCCAUUCUGAAGGAGAUCAGCCCUGGGAUUUCUUUGGAGGAAAUGAUGCUGAAGCUGAAACUCCAGUACUUUGGCCGCUUGAUGCGAUGAACUGACUCCUUGGGAAAGACCCUGAUGCUGGGAAAAAUUGAAGGCGGGAGGAGAAGGGGACGACAGAGAAUGAGAUGGUUGGAUGGCAUCACCGACUCAAUGGACAUAAGUUUGAGUAAGCUCCUGGAGUUGGUGAUGGGCAGCGAGGUGUGCUGCAGUCCUUGGAGUCCCAAAGAGUCAGCCACGGAGGAGCGACUGGACUGACUGACACUGCGUGGCUUAUGGGAUCUUAGUUCCCCGGUGUACAUGCUAAGUCGCUUCAGUUGGUUGACUCUGCGACCCUAUGGAUCAUUGCCCGCCAGGCUCCUCCAUCCAUGGGAUUCUCCAGGCAAGAAUACUGGAGUGAGUUGCUAUGCCCUCCUCCAGGGACUCUUCCCACUCAGGGAUGGAACUCCCAUCUCUUGCGUCUGCUGCAUUGACAGGUGGAUUCUUUACCACUAGUGCCACCUGGGAAGCCCCUUAGUUCCCCUACCAGGGGUCAAACCCCGGGCCCUUGGCAGUGAAAGCACUAACCACUGACCACCAGGGAACUCCCCCUCCCUAUUUUUUUUUUUUAACAGAUGUGGAAAUCCAGGUUCAGAGCGGUUAAGUUACCUGCCCAUGGUCACCCAGCUAGUGAGGGGCAGAGUCAGAAUUUGAACUCUGGUUCAAACCCAUCUCUUUCUGUGGCACCCCUCCACGUGCCCCAAAGGAGCUCGAGGCAUCUCAAGACACCCUUCCCGUGCUCAGAAGUAGUCCCCCCUGGCUUGCCUGGGUGCCUGAAACCCCCCCACUGGAGUAUCUGCUGCUGACCCCAGCCUUUUAAGCAGGAAAGGCCAGGGAUGGACAGGGGGAGGGUAUACAAAGGUUUGAUCAGGGUGGGACCAACCUGGGCCCCAGGGGCGAGGGCUUGGGGGCAGGGGAAGUGGCCCAGGGGAGAAAAGGCUGACUGGGGGAGGCGGGGCCCAGAGGCUGGCAGGACAGGGCAUGAGGGAGCACCAGUGGGGAUGAGGGAGGCUCCCUCCAAACCCCACAGGGCCGGCUCUGGGGCAGGGACUGGCUUUGGAGUGGAAGGGCCCAGCGUGACUGGGAGGCAUUAGUCAGCGGUGGAGGUUUAUGAAAGGAGGAAUUGUCCGGAGCCUCCUUACUCACCAGGCCAACUGGGCUGUCCCAGAGAGCGGGAGCAGGGCCGGUAUCAGAAGGGGACCGGGAACUCCGAGCUGCUCACUGCCCAGGUUGAAUGGCCCCAGGCAUCUGGGGGCCACGCUCGGGGGCCCUGUCCGGCCUCACGGCCUGUGAGUCACAGUCCUUGGCUGGCGGGCUGAGUGUCUUCAUUGUCCUCUCGGCCAGGGGACAGCGGGGCCCGACUCCCUCCUCCUGGGAGAAAGGACGCCCCGGGCUGAUUCACCAGUUUAUCACCCUGCUGCCCCCUCCGUCUGAGGCCCCCAGCAUAUUCACCUCCCAUCCCUUCUUCAGUCUUUCAUACAGUCAUUCUUUUUCUUAUUGUUGUUUUGCGUCAAUCUUUAUUUUUCCAAUUUGCAACAGUAAUCUAUUGACUGUUAUUCCGCCUUAAAAGGGGAUGAAAUACUGACCUACGCUACAGCAUGGAUGAACCUUGAGGACACUAUGCUAAGUGAAUAAGCCGGCUGCAAAAGGACAAAUUCUGUAUGAGUCCGUGCAUGUGAGGUUCCUAGAAUAGUCAAAAUCUUCAGGGCAGAAGUUAGAGUAGAGGUUGACAGGUCAAGGGGAGAAGGCAGCAGGCUUUGUGCUUUAAAGGUGCAGAGUUUGAGUUCGGCAAGGUGGAAAGUGUUCUGGAGAUGGACCGUGUUGAUGGUGGCAAAGCAAAGCUGAUGUACUGAGACCGUACACUUCAAAAUGUCUAAAACCGUAAAAGUUUAUAUUUUGUAUAUUUUAUCACAAAAGCAAAGAUGAUCUAUUAUUCAAACGAUACAGAAAAGUAGGAAAAGUAGAGACCUCCCUGUUGGCUAAGAUUCCGAGCUCCCAAUGCAGGGGGCCUGGGUUCGAUCCCUCGUCGGGGAACUAGAUCCCACCCGCUGCAACUAGGAAUCUGCCUGCUGCCACGAAGACUGAAGAUCCUGAGUGCCGAGACUAAGACCUGGCUCAGCCAAAUAAGUAAAUCAAUUAAAAAAAUUUUUUUAAUGUUUUUAAAGUAAAAGGUAAAUGUCCUCACCCCAGCCUCUGGAAUAUUUCAGACUUAACUUCUGUUCCUGUAUAAUCAUAGAUGUGACUUUAACAAAAAGUCAGUGUGUGAUGGGAAGGGUGCCCGCCACACUCCUGGUCUUUCUCCCUUUGAAGGACACACGCGUCUCACUAACCCCAGGUGCCAGCCCAGCGCCAGGUGGCAAGGUCGAUAACCACCAUCUGGCAGGAGCUCAGCGGUGUCUCCUGUGGGGCUUAAACCCUCACACACAUGAACUCACUUCAUCCUUCCACCAGCGUGGUGAGGAAGGGGUUGUUCAUGCCCUCCUCAAAGCCCAGUUCAUAAAUGAAGACUCAGAGGCUUUCAGAGUUGAGGGAUGUGCCCAGAUCGCAUCACUAGAUGGAGGCAAAGCAGGAGGUAUUUCCCCCCUGAGCCGUUAAGUUGUUCUGUAGACAGAGAUGGGCCACGAGCAGAGUGAUGGUUUGUAGCAGGGGUCCCCAGCCUCCAGGAUGAACUGGGGUGGGGCUGAGGUCAUGACAACAGGAAUAAAGUGCGCGGUACAUGUAAUGUACCUGAAUCAUCCCGAAACCUCCCCCCCACCCCGAGUGCAAAUUGUCUUCCACGAAACCGGUCCCUGGUGCCAAAAAGGCUGGGGCCGGCGGGUUUACAGCACAUUUGCUCACUUCAUAGUAAUCCCUUAAUUUCUGGCUUCCCUGGGGCAGGGCUCCUGUGGUCUCUCUCGCUAACUGGCCCUCCUCAAGCCCUGGAACACAGUAGGUGUUCAACAAAUAUUUGCAGAGAGGCUAGUUCUCAUUCAUGUCUCUGUCUGAUCAUCCCCCACAGCCCUGUGAAGUAGAUAAUUAGGAAAUCUGAUGGCUGCCGGUCUUACUCAUCCGGCUAGCAGGCAAGAUGGUCACACGGCCGGGCUGGGCUGCUAAGGUGGAGCCCCAGGCUUCUGGCUCCCUUCCCAGGCCUUUCCAAUUCAGCUGUCGAGGCCUGGGCCCCUGAUGUUACAGAACAAGGAUAAUUAAUUGGGAGCAGGAACACUUUGAGUCAUAACCAGCAAUAAUAAUAAUAAUAAUUGCAGUCAUACUCAUUGCAAUCUUUAACUCAUAUAAACCUGUAUCAGUAGCACCAAUGAGGCACUAAUGUUAUCUCAGGGCUUCAGUUAGGCCUGGAAGUUCAAUUGUAAGUGCCUCAACAUCACACACAGUUCAGAGGCGGCGGAGCUGGGAUUCAGGCUCCAGCCGGCUCCAGGGCCCAGAGGCCACACACCACUAAACACUUGAGGACCGAUUAGUAUUGUCAGCUGGACCCACGGCACAGCCAGGCUGAACUUUGGAGAGAGAUAGGGCCGAAUCCCACCCUCAUUCAUUCUUUUGGUCAGCAAGCCUGUACUGAGCCACACCCUUGAGCUCGACCAAGUGUCUGUCCCCAGGACUUGACCUGACCUGGACGGAGGCUCGCCCCACCCCAGCAGAGCCUUUGGCCUGGUGGGAGAGGCCGAUGUCUUAAUUACACGGCUAAUUGUCUCAUUAGAGCAAAGAUGAGUACCACUCGAAGGGUUUGGGUUCUGCCAGCCUCCUAGGGCACAGGCCUGGCCUGGGGGAGCUAACAUCUCUGCUGAAAUUUGAAGGGUGGGCCGGGGUCAGGUGAGCGGAGUGGGAGAGCUUUCCAAGCAGAGAGGGCAGUGGCGUGGCUCUGACUAGAACAAAACUGCUGUGGCUGGAGCUGGUGAGAGGAUGGGAAGGAGUAGCGGGGUUGGGGGUUUUGGGGGCGUGGGGGCCAGCACCUGAGUCCUCCCCUAGCAACUCGGGCUCCUAUAAUCAGCUCACUGGCACUGUUAUCCUUAAAGAGCAAGUGUGAAAGGGAACAUUAGAAAUUCCCAUUCCUCAGGUCUUCCCUGGCAGUCCAGUAGUUAAGACUCUGCAUGUCCACUGCAGGGGGCACAGGUUCGAUCCCUGGUCAGGGAACUAAGAUCUCACUGGAAAAAAAAAAAAAAGAAGUUGCCAUUCCCCCUCCAGUUGGUGGGGCUGGAUGGGUCCUCCCAGGAGCAUCGAUUCCACUCCCCACCGCGCGUCUGCACAGCUGUUUGCACUGGACACCACGCUCUUGGUCCUGUUUGACCCUCAUGACCACGUGGAGGGAGCAAAGUCCGGCUUCCCGAGCAGGGCCUGCGACCCUGGAGGUGAUAAGGCAGCCCUGAUCACGGGGCUCUAACCGUCGAAGCUGCUGCAGAGCCGAUGGCCGGUUGGAAGGGAAGCCCCUCCAGGGUCUUCUGACUGCCUACCCAAGCGACACCUGCCCCGAGGGACUGGGGCAGAACCUGAGGAGGAAAACUACAGUAAGAAGGAUCUUCGAAACCCCUGCUGAGUGUGCCUUUUGGUUCACAAAGCGCUUCUAUAUCCCAUUCUCAGCACGAAACAGAAGGGUAGGGCCUGGGAGCCAGGCUGCGGUGAUACAGGCCUCAGUUCACCCCUUUGCUGGCCUGUAACCCCCAGACCUCACCUCUCUGAGCCUCAGUUUCCUCCUCUGCCCAGUGAAAGCAGCAACGCCACUUCUCUCUUCCCAUGGCUCACGGCUGCGUGUCUGGCCAGCCUGUGGCUGCCUCGCUCCUGGCCCUGCUGCCUCCUUCCCCCCCGCCAGGGUGCUGCCUUUGCGCCGCACCAGACACCCGGCCUCUGCCAGGCGGGGAGCUGACUCAGACCUCGGUCCACCAACACGCUGCCGGGGUGGACGGGCCCAGACAGCCAGGGGAUUCUUGUCCCGACUCCCCUCCGGCAGCCAGGCAGCGUUUGGCAGGCCCGGCUGGGGCCUGGGUGAGAAAGAGGGAGGCGGGGAGGGGAGCCCCCGAUGGGAAGGCUCGGAUUUAGCCAGCGCAGGCCUUUGUGUUCUGAAAUGCCAGGCCAGGGCAGUGAGCUCUGCCAACGAGGAGACUGGCCUCCAACAAUAAUGUUUUUCCCUGGGUUUCCAGAAAGCAUCAGCUGCUUUCUAAUUCAAACCAUCAGGAGGAGGUUCACAUGUGCUGAGUCUCAAAACCCCCGAGAAAGAACACGGCUGCCCCUUGCCAGACAAGAGCUGGCCUGGAUGGGACAGGGGAGGUGGGGUAGGGUGGGCAUGGCCAAGGGGUCCCUGGAUGCGAGACUGAGCACCUCCCUGGGCCCCCACGUGUCCAUCCCAGACCUGCAGCUGGGAUCUCCCCAGGGCUGGCUUGCUGGUCACUCUAGCCAUGUCCACAGGGGUCACUCCCCCUUGUGCCAGAAACUGCCAGGCAUUGGAGUGGUCACUGUGUCUGUUAACUGUGGUUCACACUGACCGAGCACAUGUCCGCCAGCAUUCGCACCAACUGCUUUCCAGCCACAGUCUCUGGGCCACCUGCUAUUAUUCCAUUCUACAGACUAGAAAGAUGUUCGUCUCAGCCAGGUGAAGUUCCCCGGGCUUCCAGCCCUGGGGCUGCCUCCGGCGCUCCCCUGCCAGGCCUUGCUGCUCGGCACACAAAAGAUGUAAGACUCGCCACUUCACAACUACUAGGCUGGCAAGAGUCAGAAAGUCAGAUAAUGACAAGUGACGGCCAAGACGUGGAGAAAUCCAUCCUUGCACGCUGCUGGUGGGAAUGGGAAAUGGUUCAGCCACUUUGGAACACAGUCUGGCGGUUCCUCAACUAAACACAGAGUUACCGUAUGACCCAGCAGUGCCACUCCUGGGUAUCUACCCAGGAGAAACCAAAACACACGUCCUCACAAAGACUCAUAUGGGAAUACUCACAGCAGCGUUAUUCAUCAAAGCCAAAACGUGGAAACGAGCCAAAGGCAUAAACAUACUGUGGUCUGCCCGUACAAUGGAAUAUUAUUCAGCCAUACAAAGGAUGAAGUGCUGAUACACACUACAACAUGGAUGGCCCUUGAAAGCAUUGUGCUGAGCGAAACGAUCCAGUCGUAAGUCCACAUAUUGUACGGUUCCACUCGUGUGAAAUAUCUGCUCUAGGGAAAUCCACAGAGACACACAGGAGGGACUGGGGGUUAGGGGGACCAUGUGGGGCAGGUGAGACAGACAAAAGGUCCAGGAUCUACUUUUUUUGGGGGGGUGAUGAUCAAAAUGUCUUAAAAUGGACUGUGACCGUGGUUGCCCAGCUCUGUGAAUACACUAAAAAAUCAUUUCAAUGGGGUAAUUGCAUGGUGUGUAAAUUCCAUCUCAGUAAAAAUGUUUAAGAAAGAAAGGAUUUAUGGUGUAGCCUUUAAGGAGCUCACAGAUGAGAGAAGAAAGCAAUGAGAGAAAUGCCAACAAUUCCAUUCAUGACCUAAGAAAGCACAGGUCAUUCCAUCUGAGACUCUGAGGGCAUAGUGCUAUGGGAAGGGAGGAGGACUGUCUCUCAGCCCAGGGAGCUGGAGCAAAGAGGGAGGCAACCCAGGGAAGCUUCCUGGAGUAGGUGACACUGGAC